rnacentral:snRNA from 1 species
UUGCUCGCUUCGGCAGCACAUAUACUAAAAUUGGAACAACACAGAGAUUAGCAUGGCCCCUGUGCAACGAUGACACGCAAAUUCGUGAAGCGUUUCAUAUUAAA